UACGGAGGGGGCUAGCGUUGUUCGGAAUUACUGGGCGUAAAGCGCGCGUAGGCGGACCUGCAAGUCGGGGGUGAAAGCCCGAGGCUCAACCUCGGAACUGCCUUCGAUACUGCGGGUCUCGAGUCCGGGAGAGGUGAGUGGAAUUCCUAGUGUAGAGGUGAAAUUCGUAGAUAUUGGAAGAACACCAGUGGCGAAGGCGGCUCACUGGUCCGAUACUGACGCUGAGACGCGAAAGCGUGGGGAGCGAACAGG
rnacentral:rRNA from 1 species